rnacentral:rRNA from 1 species
UCCCAAACUGGGAUUAGAUACCCCACUAUGCUUAGCCCUAAACCUAGAUAGUUAGCUCAAACAAAACUAUCCGCCAGAGAACUACUAGCAACAGCUUAAAACUCAAAGGACUUGGCGGUGCUUUAUAUCCCUCUAGAGGAGCCUGUUCUAUAAUCGAUAAACCCCGAUAAACCUCACCAUCUCUUGCUAAUUCAGCCUAUAUACCGCCAUCUUCAGCA